rnacentral:lncRNA from 1 species
GGUAUGUAGGCCCUCUCUCUCUCUCCCUCAGCCUCUCAUUCUCUCUCUCUCUCACACUCUCUCUUGCUCCCUCUCUCUCUAGAAAGAGAAGAAGAACAAGAAGAACAAGAAUGAGAGGAAGGAAAAGGAGAAGAAGAAAAGGGAGGAGAAGAAGAAGGAGAUCAAGAGGAAGGGCUUGGACACUUUCAUCUCCCUCUCCUCUUCUCUUUGGUG